rnacentral:rRNA from 1 species
AAGUGUGAAGAUUUAAAGAUGCGAAUCGGUUGCGGACGGUCAUGCGUUCCAUUAGCUAGUUGGUGGGGUAACGGCCCACCAAGGCGACGAUGGAUAGGGGUUCUGAGAGGAAGGUCCCCCACACUGGUACUGAGACACGGACCAGACUCCUACGGGAGGCAGCAGUGAGGAAUAUUGGUCAAUGGGCGAGAGCCUGAACCAGCCAAGUCGCGUGAGGGAAGACGGCCCUAUGGGUUGUAAACCUCUUUUAGAUGGGAGUAAAGUGUUCUACGCGUAGGAUAUUGCAAGUACCAUCAGAAUAAGCAUCGGCUAAUUCCGCGCCAGCAGCCGCGGUAAUACGGAAGAUGCGAGCGUUAUCCGGAUUUAUUGGGUUUAAAGGGUGCGUAGGCGGGUGAUUUAAGUCAGCGGUGAAAUGCGUCAGCUUAACUGGCGAACUGCCAUUGAAACUGGUUACCUUGAGUGUAGCGGAAGUAUGCGGAAUGCGUGGUGUAGCGGUGAAAUGCAUAGAUAUCACGCAGAACU